CGAAUAGGACAAAGGAGACGGGAUGGCUGCAGCUCUCGACACUCCGCAAUUCAUCCUGAUCGACUGUGUUAAUAGAAGAAUCCAAUGGCUUCUCGGCAUUCAGCCGGAUGGGCUUCCUAAUCAAUUCCACAAUCGGGUUCAGCCAAGCACUUUGGUUUUUUCGGUGAUCAUCGAUCUCAUCGGGUCUCGUAAGACCCGACGCGACUGUUUACGUGAAAAGGAGGUCAGUUACGUUCAAGACUCACGUGUCUAUCCUGAUCUGGGUCAAUGAGCCCCUAUGCCAUUAAAACCGGCAUUUCGAAUAACCUAGACUGAUCAGAAAAAAAACAAUCUACGUCAGUUAUCGCGCCAUUCCCGUUUGGCCGCACGUUGCUCAAGAGUGAAUUUUGGUUGAGAGUCACUUUACAUGGCAAGGAUGGAAUUUUACGGACUAUCAGAGAAGAAAUUAUUCGGGAUUCAAGAGGAGGAAGUGAGAUGCCGCUGAAAUUGGAGUAUCAAGGAGGAACUGGAUACUGACUCUCUUUCUGUCUGUGCUUUUAUAAAUAAUUGCACGCGACCUAACGAACGGAAUUAUUUAGAUGUCUCGGUUGCCAUGGACAGGAGGAAGAUAACUGUCGACGAAUCCUUAUUUCGUUCUUUGUUGCAAGAAUCGAUCGUCCGUUGGGACGGGGUCAUCCUGACCCAAAUUAACCUUGGCUGGCUGACAGUGUCUCAGGCGUGACCUCGUCGAGAGUCAAACGUGCCUUCUCAAUAAUUUUCUACGACUGUUCCUCGACCUCGCCAAGAAGUCCUGGUGAGAAUGAAAACCUCUAGAAGGCUGUGAAUGAAACUUGAUCAACCUAAAGACUUCGUUCUGAUUAAU